UUGAACGCUGGCGGCAGGCCUAACACAUGCAAGUCGAGCGGAUGAAGGGAGCUUGCUCCUGGAUUCAGCGGCGGACGGGUGAGUAAUGCCUAGGAAUCUGCCUGGUAGUGGGGGAUAACGUCCGGAAACGGGCGCUAAUACCGCAUACGUCCUGAGGGAGAAAGUGGGGGAUCUUCGGACCUCACGCUAUCAGAUGAGCCUAGGUCGGAUUAGCUAGUUGGUGGGGUAAAGGCCUACCAAGGCGACGAUCCGUAACUGGUCUGAGAGGAUGAUCAGUCACACUGGAACUGAGACACGGUCCAGACUCCUACGGGAGGCAGCAGUGGGGAAUAUGGGACAAUGGGCGAAAGCCUGAUCCAGCCAUGCCGCGUGUGUGAAGAAGGUCUUCGGAUUGUAAAGCACUUUAAGUUGGGAGGAAGGGCAGUAAGUUAAUACCUUGCUGUUUUGACGUUACCAACAGAAUAAGCACCGGCUAACUUCGUG
rnacentral:rRNA from 1 species